GACGAACGCUGGCGGCAUGCCUAAUACAUGCAAGUCGAGCGAACAGAUGAAGUGCUUGCACUUCUGACGUUAGCGGCGAACGGGUGAGUAACACGUAAGGAAUCUACCUAUAAGCGGGGGAUAACAUUCGGAAACGGGUGCUAAUACCGCAUAAUAUCUUCUUCCGCAUGGAAGAAGAUUGGAAGACGGCUCUGCUGUCACUUAUAGAUGACCUUGCGGUGCAUUAGUUAGUUGGUGGGGUAACGGCCUACCAAGACGAUGAUGCAUAGCCGACCUGAGAGGGUGAUCGGCCACAUUGGGACUGAGACACGGCCCAAACUCCUACGGGAGGCAGCAGUAGGGAAUCUUCCGCAAUGGGCGAAAGCCUGACGGAGCAAUGCCGCGUGAGUGAAGAAGGCCUUCGGGUCGUAAAACUCUGUUAUAAGAGAAGAACAAAUUGUAGAGUAACUGCUACAGUCUUGACGGUAUCUUAUCAGAAAGCCACGGCUAACUACGUG
rnacentral:rRNA from 1 species